rnacentral:rRNA from 1 species
AAUCAACGCUGGCGGCGUGCCUCAGACAUGCAAGUCGAACGAUUAAAGCUCUCUUCGGAGAGUGUAUAGAGUGGCGCACGGGUGAGUAACACGUAAGUAAUCUACCCUCGAGUGGGGAAUAACGUUCGGAAACGGACGCUAAUACCGCAUAACGCAGCGGCACCGCAAGGUGACAGUUGUUAAAGGAGCAAUCCGCUUGAGGAGGAGCUUGCGGCAGAUUAGCUAGUUGGUAGGGUAAUGGCUUACCAAGGCUACGAUCUGUAUCCGGUCUAAGAGGACGGUCGGACACACUGACACUGAAUAACGGGUCAGACUCCUACGGGAGGCAGCAGUCGGGAAUUUUGGGCAAUGGGCGAAAGCCUGACCCAGCAACGCCGCGUGAAGGAUGAAGUAUUCGGUAUGUAAACUUCGAAAGAAUAGGAAGAAUAAAUGACGGUACUAUUUAUAAGGUCCGGCUAACUACGUGCCAGCAGCCGCGGUAAGUCUCGCGUGA